GGAGAACUCCAAUGGCAUCUGUGUCAGCACGCCCACACCAGGCCUCAACAAUGGCCGCCGCCAAUGUCCCAGUCCCUGGAGAGGUCUCACCCCUCACCGAGAUGCACUCAGGGCCUAUAUGUUUCUUAUGAAGUCACACAGGGUGUCAUUUUGCUGCACAGUAUUUUCCCAACUGGGAAAACAUGGUUUUUAAAGUUGGCUGCAAAAAUCUGUUCCUAAACAAAACUCAGACCUACCAAAAGAAUUCAACAUAUUUUAUGUACUCUCAAGACAGUUUUAUCUCUCCUCAGGAAACAAAAAAGUACAGCAUUGUCAACCUCCUACUCCUACGCAUGGUUAAGAUGGGAAAAGGUUUUGAUGUCAAGCAUUAUGUAUGCCAUUUGCCCUUCAGAAAGUAAACAUUUAACCAAAUCAAGAUACUGAUGUUUAUGAAAAGCCUCAUAUAUGCUGAUAUUUUUAGAUGUUUUU